UACGGAGGGUGCAAGCGUUGUCCGGAUUUAUUGGGUUUAACGGGUGCGUAGGCGGUUCUUUAAGUCCGGGGUGAAAGCCCACUGCUCAACAGUGGAACUGCCCUGGAAACUGGAGAACUUGAGUACAGACGAGGGCGGCGGAAUGGAUGGUGUAGCGGUGAAAUGCAUAGAUACCAUCCAGAACCCCGAUUGCGAAGGCAGCUGCCUAGACUGUAACUGACGCUGAGGCACGAAAGCGUGGGGAGCGAACAGG
rnacentral:rRNA from 1 species